rnacentral:rRNA from 1 species
GAUGAACGCUGGCGGCGUGCCUAAUACAUGCAAGUCGAGCGAACGGACGAGAAGCUUGCUUCUCUGAUGUUAGCGGCGGACGGGUGAGUAACACGUGGAUAACCUACCUAUAAGACUGGGAUAACUUCGGGAAACCGUAGCUAAUACCGGAUAAUAUUUUGAACCGCAUGGUUCAAAAGUGAAAGACGGUCUUGCUGUCACUUAUAGAUGGAUCCGCGCUGCAUUAGCUAGUUGGUAAGGUAACGGCUUACCAAGGCAACGAUGCAUAGCUGACCUGAGAGGGUGAUCGGCCACACUGGAACUGAGACACGGUCCAGACUCCUACGGGAGGCAGCAGUAGGGAAUCUUCCGCAAUGGGCGAAAGCCUGACGGAGCAACGCCGCGUGAGUGAUGAAGGUCUUCGGAUCGUAAAACUCUGUUAUUAGGGAAGAACAUAUGUGUAAGUAACUGUGCACAUCUUGACGGUACCUAAUCAGAAAGCCACGGCUAACUACG